rnacentral:lncRNA from 1 species
AAGAAAGAUGAGGCCCCUGGUGCAGAUGCUGCAGAGAAGACUGAACAAGGCGCCGAAGGCCAAGAGCAGACUAAUAAUGUCGCUGCCCCAGAAUCAGAAAAUAAAUCAGAUGUGAAACCAGCUGAAUCUGAAGUAGCUCCACUAGCACCUGUAGUAGAGGAAGAGAAGAAAGAGGAGAAAACUGAGAACAGCCUGGUAGCUGAACCCGCAGUGCCCCCAGCAGCUGAACCCGUGGUGCUCCUGGCAGCAUCUUCAGAGGGAGAGAAGAAAGAGGAUGGUGGCGUGACCGAACCUGCUGCGCUGCCUGUGGCCGAAACGAAGGCAGAUGCUCCUCCAGCAGAGGCAGCAAAGGAGGCUGAGAAUCUGGGGCAGGCGAAC